rnacentral:rRNA from 1 species
UGAAACACGGACCAAGGAGUCUAGCGUAUGCGCGAGUCAUUGGGUGGUAAACCCAUAGGCGUAAUGAAAGUGAAGACCCAGCAAUGGGUUUAUAUGCGAUCCGUUGCGCUACGGCGUACGCGGAGCAGCAUAGCCCCGUCUUAACGGCUUGCCGUAGGGCGGAGGUAGAGCGUAUGCACUGGUACCCGAAAGAUGGUGAACUAUGCCUGAGCAGGAUGAAGCCAGAGGAAACUCUGGUGGAGGUCCGAAGCGCUUCUGACGUGCAAAUCGAUCGUCUGACUUGGGUAUAGGGGCGAAAGACUAAUCGAACCAUCUAGUAGCUGGUUCCCUCCGAAGUUUCCCCCAGGAUAGCUGGAGCCUGUAACUUAGUUAUACUCGGUAAAGCGAACGAUUAGAGGACUUGGGGCCAAAAGGCCUUAACCUAUUCUCAAACUCUCAAUGGGUAUGAAGUCCCAGUUGCUUGAUUUUGAACUGGGACGUUGAAUAUCGGGCUCCAAGUGGGCCAUUUUUGGUAAGCA